AGCUUUGCACAGUGACAGUAUUGUAGCCAAUUAAAUUUAUCCAAAGUGUGAUCGUUGCUAAUUGAAAACUUUUCCCAAUAUCCUGC
rnacentral:snRNA from 1 species